GACGAACGCUGGCGGCGUGCCUAACACAUGCAAGUCGAACGAGAAGGCGUAGCAAUACGCUUGUACAGUGGCGAACGGGUGAGUAAUACGUGGGCGACCUACCCUCGAGUGGGGAAUAACCCGCCGAAAGGCGGGCUAAUGCCGCGUACGCUUCCAUCUUUAUGGAGGUGGAAGGAAAGCCGUGCCGUGGGCACGGCGCUCAAGGAUGGGCUCACGUCCUAUCAGCUUGUUGGAGGGUAACGGCCUACCAAGGCUCCGACGGGUAGCUGGUCUGAGAGGACGAUCAGCCACACUGGCACUGCGACACGGGCCAGACUCCUACGGGAGGCAGCAGUGAGGAAUAUUGCGCAAUGGGCGAAAGCCUGACGCAGCGACGCCGCGUGGGGGA
rnacentral:rRNA from 1 species